rnacentral:rRNA from 1 species
AGAUUGAACGCUGGCGGCAUGCCUUACACAUGCAAGUCGAACGGUAGAGUAGCAAUACUUGAGAGUGGCGAACGGGUGAGUAAGUAUAUCGGAACGUGCCCAGUCGUGGGGGAUAACGUAGAGAAAGUUUACGCUAAUAACCGCAUACGAUCUAAGGAUGAAAGCGGGGGAACUCGGCAAGAGCCUCGCGCGAUUGGAGCGACUGAUAGUCAGAUUAGGUUGUUGGUGAGGUAAAAGCUCACCAAGCCGACGAAUCUGUAGCUGGUUUGAGAGAACGACCAGCCACACUGGGACUGAGACACGGCCCAGACUCCUACGGGAGGCAGCAGGUGGGAAUUUUGGGACAAAUGGGCGAAAGCCUGAUCCAGCAAUGCCGCGUGCAGGAAGAAGGACCUUCGGUUGUAAACGUAGCUUUGUUACGGUAACGAAAACGGUACGUAGUCUUUAAUAACUAAGACGGAACGUAA